rnacentral:rRNA from 1 species
UGGGGGAUAUUGCACAAUGGGGGAAACCCUGAUGCAGCGACGCCGCGUGGAGGAAGAAGGUUUUCGGAUUGUAAACUCCUGUCGUUAGGGACGAUAAUGACGGUACCUAACAAGAAAGCACCGGCUAACUACGUGCCAGCAGCCGCGGUAAAACGUAGGGUGCAAGCGUUGUCCGGAAUUACUGGGUGUAAAGGGAGCGCAGGCGGGAAGACAAGUUGGAAGUGAAAACCAUGGGCUCAACCCAUGAAUUGCUUUCAAAACUGUUUUUCUUGAGUAGUGCAGAGGUAGAUGGAAUUCCCGGUGUAGCGGUGGAAUGCGUAGAUAUCGGGAGGAACACCAGUGGCGAAGGCGGCCUACUGGGCACCAACUGACGCUGAGGCUCGAAAGUGUGGGUAGCAAACAGGAUUAGAUACCCUGGUAGUCCACACCGUAAACGAUGAUUACUAGGUGUUGGAGGAUUGACCCCUUCAGUGCCGCAGUUAACACAAUAAGUAAUCCACCUGGGGAGUACGACCGCAAGGUUGAAACUCAAAGGAAUUGACGGGGGCCCGCACAAGCAGUGGAGUAUGUGGUUUAAUUCGACGCAACGCGAAGAACCUUACCAAGUCUUGACAUCCCUUGACAGACAUAGAAAUAUGUAUUCUCUUCGGAGCAAGGAGACAGGUGGUGCAUGGUUGUCGUCAGCUCGUGUCGUGAGAUGUUGGGUUAAGUCCCGCAACGAGCGCAACCCUUAUGGUCAGUUACUACGCAAGAGGACUCUGGCCAGACUGCCGUUGACAAAACGGAGGAAGGUGGGGAUGACGUCAAAUCAUCAUGCCCUUUAUGACUUGGGCUACACGCGUACUACAAUGGCGUUAAACAAAGAGAAGCAAGACCGCGAGGUGGAGCAAAACUCAGAAACAACGUCCCAGUUCGGACUGCAGGCUGCAACUCGCCUGCACGAAGUCGGAAUUGCUAGUAAUCGUGGAUCAGCAUGCCACGGUGAAUACGUUCCC